rnacentral:rRNA from 1 species
GGGAGGAAGGGCUGAUGGUUAAUAAGCGAAGGGAUUGACGUUACCGACAGAAUAAGCACCGGCUAACUCUGUGCCAGCAGCCGCGGUAAUACAGAGGGUGCAAGCGUUAAUCGGAAUUACUGGGCGUAAAGCGCGCGUAGGUGGUUUGUUAAGUUGGAUGUGAAAUCCCCGGGCUCAACCUGGGAACUGCAUCCGAAACUGGCAAGCUAGAGUCUGGUAGAGGGUGGUGGAAUUUCCUGUGUAGCGGUGAAAUGCGUAGAUAUCUGAAGGAACACCGGUGGCGAAGGCGACCCCCUGGACUGAUACUGACACUGAGGUGCGAAAGCGUGGGGGAGCAAAACAGGAUUAGAUACCCUGGUAGUCCACGCCGUAAAACGAUGUCAACUAGCAGGUUGGGAGCCUUGAGGCUCUGGCUUCCCGGAGCUAAACGCAUUAAAGUCUGACCGCCU